rnacentral:rRNA from 1 species
UGGCUCAGGAUGAACGCUAGCGACAGGCCUAACACAUGCAAGUCGAGGGGCAGCACAAGGAGCAAUCUGAGGUGGCGACCGGCGCACGGGUGAGUAACACGUAUGCAACCUGCCUGUAAGCGGGGAAUAACCCGUUGAAAGACGGACUAAUACCGCAUAAUACUAAAUUACUGCAUGGUAAUUUAUUUAAACAUUUAUGGCUUACAGAUGGGCAUGCGCAUGAUUAGCUAGUUGGAGAGGUAACGGCUCCCCAAGGCAACGAUCAUUAGGGGUUCUGAGAGGAAGGUCCCCCCACACUGGUACUGAGACACGGACCAGACUCCUACGGGAGGCAGCAGUGAGGAAUAUUGGUCAAUGGACGAGAGUCUGAACCAGCCAAGUCGCGUGCAGGAAGAAUUGUCCUAUGGAUUGUAAACUGCUUUUGCAGGGGAAUAAAGUGCAUCACGUGUGAUGUUUUGUAUGUACUCUGCGAAUAAGGAUCGGCUAACUCCGUGCCAGCCGCCGC